AAAAUAUUAGGGUUCAUAUUCACGACCAUGGAACCACCAUUUUAUUUGGUGGCUAUUGAUUUAUGAACCACAACUAGACCUCACCAUCGAAGGCUCCACUCGAGGGAAUUUGAAAUAUUAGGGAUUUCAUUGGCGUCAUUUUGAGGCAUGAGGUCUAAUACUUUUAGAUUUCCCUUCCAACUUCGAUCUCAACGAAGUGAAAUAGAGGUCUAAAGCCGAUUCACAAGUCUCAGUUGUACGGAGAAGAUGAUCCGGGGAUCUCGCAUGGAAAACCAUCCCUCUAGUAUUCUUCCAGUAUAUUCUAGGAGCUGCUGCUGAAAUUCUCCUUCUUUUGGGUUCUUUUGGGUUUAGGCUAGGAUAUGGAUUUAUUAGAGUUGGGUUUUAGGACAUGGGUUAUUUUUGUAUUUUGAAAAUUGUAAAUGGACCUUUUUUAGUCUUGGACCUUAUUCAUUUAUUUGGGUUUAUUUAUUUGCAAAUAAAUUAAA